CACUUUUGUUUUUCAUAUGUUCUGUUUGUCUUUAAAAUUAAUAUUUGUCUUAUUUGCAUAUUUAGGUAACACUACCUACUGUACAAUUGCUUUUUAUCUUAUUUUCAUUUAUUUGUUUUCUCAUGUAUUUAUCUUGUUCAGAGAUGCUGAAAAUAUCUCUUGUUUCAUUUCCCCAAGGAGUCUGACUAAAUUUUACUUUGGACAUUCCAGUUUGUUU